GACGAACGCUGGCGGCGUGCUUAACACAUGCAAGUCGAACGGUAAGGCCCUUCGGGGUACACGAGUGGCGAACGGGUGAGUAACACGUGGGUGAUCUGCCCUGCACUUCGGGAUAAGCCUGGGAAACUGGGUCUAAUACCGGAUAGGACCACUGCCUGCAUGGGUGGUGGUGGAAAGCUUUUGCGGUGUGGGAUGGGCCCGCGGCCUAUCAGCUUGUUGGUGGGGUGAUGGCCUAACAAGGCGACGACGGGUAGGCGGCCGGGGAGGGUGACCGGCCACACUGGGGCUGGGGUACGGCCCAGACUCCUACGGGGGGCAGCAGUGGGGAAUAUUGCACAAUGGGCGCAAGCCUGAUGCAGCGACGCCGCGUGAGGGAUGACGGCCUUCGGGUUGUAAACCUCUUUCAGCACCGACGAAGCGCAAGUGACGGUAGGUGCAGAAGAAGGACCGGCCAACUACGUGCCAGCCGCCGCCGUAA
rnacentral:rRNA from 1 species